GCGCGGUUAGCUCAGGGGUAGAGCAACCCCUUUACACGGGGAAGGUCGGGGGUUCAAAUCCCUCACCGCGCACCA
rnacentral:tRNA from 1 species